GGGCCCGCACAAGCGGCGGAGCAUGCGGAUUAAUUCGAUGCAACGCGAAGAACCUUACCUGGGUUUGACAUGGGCGCUAAAGCCGCAGAGAUGUGGUGUCCCUUUGGGGGCGUUCACAGGUGGUGCAUGGCUGUCGUCAGCUCGUGUCGUGAGAUGUUGGGUUAAGUCCCGCAACGAGCGCAACCCUCGUUCGAUGUUGCCAGCGGUUCGGCCGGGGACUCAUCGAAGACUGCCGGGGUCAACUCGGAGGAAGGUGGGGAUGACGUCAAGUCAUCAUGCCCCUUAUGUCCAGGGCUUCACGCAUGCUACAAUGGCCGGUACAAAGGGCUGCGAUACCGUGAGGUGGAGCGAAUCCCAAAAAGCCGGUCUCAGUUCGGAUCGGGGUCUGCAACUCGACCCCGUGAAGUCGGAGUCGCUAGUAAUCGCAGAUCAGCAACGCUGCGGUGAAUACGUUCCCGGGCCUU
rnacentral:rRNA from 1 species